rnacentral:rRNA from 1 species
UUAUCCGGAUUUAUUGGGUUUAAAGGGUGCGUAGGCGGCAAGGUAAGUCAGCGGUGAAAGACCAGGGCUCAACUCUGGAAGUGCCGUUGAUACUGUCUGGCUAGAAUGAUUCCGCCGUGGGAGGAAUGAGUAGUGUAGCGGUGAAAUGCAUAGAUAUUACUCAGAACACCGAUUGCGAAGGCAUCUCACGAGGGGUUCAUUGACGCUGAGGCACGAAAGCGUGGGGAUCGAACAGGAUUAGAUACCCUGGUAGUCCACGCAGUAAACGAUGAUGGCUAACUGUCGGGCCUUCGGGUUCGGCGGCCAAGCGAAAGCGAUAAGCCAUCCACCUGGGGAGUACGACCGCAAGGUUGAAACUCAAAGGAAUUGACGGGGGCCCGCACAAGCGGAGGAACAUGUGGUUUAAUUCGAUGAUACGCGAAGAA